AUAACAUUUUUGAGCUGUGUUUUUGUGCAGGUUUAGUGAGAUAUAACUGAGUUCUUAUGAGUAAGUAAACUUCUUAUUUUCUCCUAAGCCUAGUUUGUUACCAACGAAAUAAGGUUAAUGACUACUUCUAUGUUUCCUGUCUAGCUUUAGUUUUAUUUUUCUGAUUAAAUAACUUGAUUCUAUGGAAACUAUUCAUGGCAGGUAAGUGAUCUAUUGUUGUAUGUUGUUUAUCAGGACUUCAAAAUAUCUUGAAGAUGAUAACCAGAUUGUUAACUUUAUUCCAGUUUGGAAAUAAAAGCCACCCUAAAAGUACAUGAUUCUUACCAUAUGGACAAUUCCUCGUUUCUUGCUCUGUUAAUGAGUUUAUUGAGGUUAAUUUUGUCAUUUAUAUGCUAUAUUAUAAUUUAAAUUAUGAGAUUCUCAAUGAUAUGGAAUUAGAUACAUUAAUGUGAAUAUUUAUCAGGUAUGGGAUCACAUUUGUAGUAAGCUUAAGAAAGUUUGUGAUACUUUCUUUUUACAUUGUAAUAAUUUCUUAUGUAUUGGUUUCAAUAUUAUGGUUUCCUUCUGUAGGAAUCCUCCAUGAUGCAUAAUGAUGUUGUUCUUUGUAUCAAUUUUAGUAGAAAUUCAGAGAUGCUUUCUUCCCGAUCACUAGAUGGGAAGAUUAGAGUUUAGAGAACAAGAAAUGGACAACAGUUGGAUAUAGCUUACCAGGUGGCAGGUAGUGCAUUCUCUUUUGAAAUAGAUCUGCUUACUUGUACAAGAUGAAGGGUAAGAAGAUGGCGAAAUGAGUAUAGAUCAAAUGGGUUAUUCCAAGCUCCGUUAAUCAAGAUUCGUCGGCAUCAUAACUUUGGGUUAAUGGAUUGGACGAGGUGGCAACACGUUUAGACUUGUUAAACCAUUAAUCAAUAUUUAUUGGAUUGAAAUGGGUUCUUUCAAGCUCUACUAAUCAAGAAUUAUGUUUUGGGUAUUAUUAGGACGCCGUUUAAACUUACUAAGCCUCUUGGAAGAUAAUCUUAUGUUGAAUAAUCAGAUUAUUGUUGUAAAACGAGUUAAUUUUUAAUUGAAGUAAUAUUUUUGUGUU